UAGCUAAAAUCAGCUGGUUGCGCAAAGAUAGUUUCCUGUCUUUCCCUGCCAGCUUUACAAAAAAAAUACCAUAGUUAUAAGCUGACUUCAAUAUUUCACUGCCCUCUCCCACCAACUCAGUGUCAACCUCUCGAUGUUCAGGGCCCCCAGUUUUCUCUCAGACAACCCACAAAGAAUCUCACUUCCUGAUGCAGGUUUUCCCUUCUUCUUACUACUACUCAUCUCUUAAAAAAAUGUACUGAAUUUUAUUCAGGUCUCUCUGGUCCCUAAUUUGUGCUUUCCGUGAAAACAAUCAGAAAAUCACCCAAACCAUCUUUAUAAUACAUUAAAAUGUGUCAAUGGCUUAUCCAGCCUGGGCAAGAUAUGUGUGUUUUAGCAAUGCCUUCUUUUAACCUUAACCCAAAGAAGUGACUCAAAUGGAAGUAAUUUAUUUUGUUCUAAAAUUAUUGUUGUAACUUUUUCCUGAUUACCUAAUGACAGGGAUUUGUGGCACCAAAACUAAUCAAUGUGACAAACAGUUAAAGGUAGAAGGAACCUUCUAUUCCACCUUUGCCCAGUUUAUGACCAAGUCCCUCAACGAGAAAGUCAUGAAGGAACUGUGAAAGAAGGCGUUCCACAAACUGCCUGAGACAGACUGUGAGUUUCUGGGGAGAAGUUGCAUGGUUUCUAAGAAGAAGUUGAAUCUUUUCAUUUAUAUAGACGCUCCCCUGUCAUUCAGUCAUGGAGAGGUAAGUCUGAAUUUAUUUUCUAGGAAGCUAGAUCUUAUUAACAUACCAUGUAACUUUACUUCAAGAUAGCUCUUUCUAAAAACAGUAUUACUACCAUGCAGCCUUAAGUACCCAUACUCUGGAAACACUUAGAGGGAAUGAGAUGAUUGGGAGAAAGAAGAUGGAGAUCAGAUCUACUUGAAAGAAAUACAUCAUGAGGAAACUUGAAACUAUCGAAUACAGAGAAGUUUGAGAAUCUUUCUUAAUCUUAAUUAUUUGUUCUAUAUUUAUCUCCUUUUGUCACUGAUAAUGUGAUUUUCUGUACCCAAUAAAGGUAAAUGUAAGUAAUAUGUUUAGAAUUUAAUUGUGUAUUUCAUCAAGGAAAUGCCUUUCUUUCUUUCUUUUUUUUUUUUUUUUGAGACAGAGUCUCACUCUGUCACCCAGGCUAGAGUGCAGUGACACGAUCUCGGCCCACUGCAAACUCCACUUCCCGGGUUCAAGCACUUCUCCUGCCUCAACCUCCUGAGUAGCUGGGACUACAGGUACAUGCCACCAUGCAUGGCUAACUUUUGUAUUUUUAGUAGAGAUGAGGUUUUGUCACGUUGGCCAGGCUGGUCUUUAACUCUUGGCCUCAUGUGAUCUGCCUGCCUCUUCCUCCCAAAGUGCUAACAUAGGCGAGAGCCACCUUGCCCAGC
rnacentral:lncRNA from 1 species